rnacentral:rRNA from 1 species
CAGUAGCCGCGGGAAUACGUAGGUGGCAAGCGUUGUCCGGAAUUAUUGGGCGUAAAGCGCGCGCAGGCGGAUAGGUCAGUCUGUCUUAAAAGUUCGGGGCUUAACCCCGUGAUGGGAUGGAAACUGCCAAUCUUGAGUAUCGGAGAGGAAAGUGGAAUUCCUAGUGUAGCGGUGAAAUGCGUAGAUAUUAGGAAGAACACCAGUGGCGAAGGCGACUUUCUGGACGAAAACUGACGCUGAGGCGCGAAAGCCAGGGGGGCGAACGGAAUUAGAUACCCCCGUAGUCCCUGUCUCUUAUACA